CGCAAUGGGCGCAAGCCUGACGGAGCAAUACUGCGUGAGGGAUGACGGCCCUUGGGUUGUAAACCUCUUUUAUCAAGGAGGAAGUUUUGACGUGUACUUGAUGAAUAAGCAUCGGCUAACUCCGUGCCAGCAGCCGCGGUAAGACGGAGGAUGCAAGUGUUAUCCGGAAUCACUGGGCGUAAAGCGUCUGUAGGUGGUUUGAAAAGUCCACUGUUAAAGAUUGAGGCUUAACUUCAAAAAUGCCGUGGAAACUUUCAAACUAGAGUAUGGUAGGGGUAGAGGGAAUUUCCAGUGGAGCGGUGAAAUGCGUAGAUAUUGGAAAGAUAUACGACUCACU
rnacentral:rRNA from 1 species